GUUAUGCGCUCCUCUCCGCCUUUGCUCUCAAAAAUCUUUCCAGGGCAGAAGUGUAACUAAAACAAGAAGCAAUUUGGUGUUUUUAUGGAGUUUUAGGUUUUUUGUGGGGGUUUUUUGGGGGGGGGAGUUGUUGCUGUUGUUUUUUAAGCAGGAGGGUGGUUUUCCAGGAAGCACAUUUUCAAUACUUUUCUUUCUUCUCACUCUCAUUUUCUGCUUUUCACAGUUCACAGUCAUUUCCUUCAGAUCAGCUAAUUCAACUCCAAGUCUGAAAGCUGCUAGGACUCCUCUCAUUCCGCUCCAGCUCGGACCUGGGAAUUCUAGUGCUGUGUCAGCUGUUACUUUCUACCCAGAGGCAAAAGGAAGAAAACCGAGUUCCUUCUCCACGGGUGACCUCAGCCUGUCAGCAACGCCACCCCUGACCCGUGCUUGAUCCUCCCUCCUGAAGAACGCAAGGUAUGCUUCUAAGAACUUCCACGGGGCAAAUGACCCCACACACAGUAACUGUCAGACUGUUAGGUACAAGAUGCCUGUAAGACUCCAUUCCUGAGGAAAAAGAAUCGGGGAAAUAAUUUGAUGAAGGAUAGGAAAGUGCUGGAGAAGGGGCGCCUGGGUGGCUCAGUCGUUGAGCGUCUGCCUUCCGCUCGGGUUGUGAUCCCGGGGUC